rnacentral:ncRNA from 1 species
UCAAGUGAAAGGCAAACCACAGCGAAAGCGUGGGACGCAAAGCCACCGGCCGUAAAAAAUGUUUAUUCAUUUAUUCAAUACGGCGGCGGGGCUGCCCGG